rnacentral:rRNA from 1 species
AACGAACGCUGGCGGCAUGCCUAACACAUGCAAGUCGAACGAGACCUUCGGGUCUAGUGGCGCACGGGUGCGUAACGCGUGGGAACCUGCCCUUAGGUUCGGCAUAACUCCCCGAAAGGGGUGCUAAUACCGGAUAAUGUCUUCGGACCAAAGAUUUAUCGCCUUUGGAUGGGCCCGCGUUGGAUUAGCUAGUUGGUAGGGUAAAAGCCUACCAAGGCGACGAUCCAUAGCUGGUCUGAGAGGAUGAUCAGCCACACUGGGACUGAGACACGGCCCAGACUCCUACGGGAGGCAGCAGUGGGGAAUAUUGGACAAUGGGCGAAAGCCUGAUCCAGCAAUGCCGCGUGAGUGAUGAAGGCCUUAGGGCUGUAAAGCUCUUUUACCCGGGAUGAUAAUGACAGUACCGGGAGAAUAAGCUCCGGCUAACUCCGUG